GAACUGCAUACUCUAACUGCCGAGCUAGAGUAUGUCAGAGGGGGGUAGAAUUCCACGUGUAGCAGUGAAAUGCGUAGAUAUGUGGAGGAAUACCGAUGGCGAAGGCAGCCCCCUGGGAUAAUACUGACGCUCAGACACGAAAGCGUGGGGAGCAAACAGGAUUAGAUACCCUGGUAGUCCACGCCCUAAACGAUGUCAACUAGCUGUUGGGGCCGUUAGGCCUUAGUAGCGCAGCUAACGCGUGAAGUUGACCGCCUGGGGAGUACGGUCGCAAGAUGAACACUCAAAGGAAUNGACNGGGACCNGCACNAGCGGUGGAUGAUGUGGAUNAAUGCGAUGCAACGCGANCNACCCUUACCUA
rnacentral:rRNA from 1 species